UCAAGAGUGAGCCGCUCAUUCCAACUAAUUUAUCUCAUCUUUUUCCUCCUUGCCGUAUGGUUUUUGCAGAUUCGAUUUUCACAUCGAUGUCUUUACUUCCUGGGGUUCUGUCUUCAGAUCCGCUCGCAUCGGCCCAACGGCUCUUUGUAUCUGCUCUUUUACUAUGAAAGGAGUGACUUGUUGGAUCUAUGCCUUUAAAAGCCUUUGCCGGCAGGGAAGCGAAGAUUAAAUUGAAGGGCUCCAGCGCUUCUGGCGGCCUUUGCACGAUGUACGGCGGUGAUUAACAAGGCAUCCGAUGUUUUGCGACGGCGUUGUGGGAUUGACUGGUUUGCUUUUGAAAGGAUGUGUAAGAUGUCGGGGAAAAAGGUCCUACUGAUGAUAUUUCUUUGUUAGGGGACUGAGUCAUGAUCUAUCUUUGUCGUCCAAGACCUUUGCCAUGGCAGGUGCGCUUGCAUGGCAGGUCACCUGACCUUAAUAAAAUUUAUCUGUUUGGGUGUUUUUAAGGGGAGAUCGCACGGGAGUUGCCCGGGUUCUCCCCUCUGCUGCGGUGUCGUCUCGCGUCUCCUGCUCUUUAUUCUUUUUCUCUAUCUCUUGCUCGCCAUCCAUUUUUUUGCAUCAUACGGGAUGGACGCUUGAUCCAAUACCAUUAUCAACGUCGGAAUAAGCUCAUGAACUCCCAAUUCACACCAUUAUCUCAUCUCACGGACAAGGUAUUAUUUUACAUAUUUUAACCCCACUCCGCCUUAUCAAAUAAUACUUCAAAAUUUAAUUUUAUUCUCCUAUUAGAUUACAUCAACUUUGACAUGAAACGGAACAAAUAGUUUUUAGCACAUUUAGAAUGGUAAAAGGGUACAUGGUAAUUAAUAUUCAAGAACAUGGUUUUUAAAUAUUCAUCACCCUUCCUGGGGGAAAAGAAGUAGUUAAAUUUUUAACUUCAAUCUUUGUUUUUAGAGUUACGCGGCACUAAAUUAUUGUUUUUUUAAUAAUUUUUAUUCGUAGAGAAUUUUAAUUUUAUAUCAGCUCUACUUUUAGAUUAUUUGAUUUUGGUAAUGAUUUUCCCAAUCCUAGCAUGUAUAAUUCAGUAGUAAACUAAAUUGAAAUAUUUUUUAUUUUAAUAUAUUUUCUGUUAUUAAACCUUCUUAACAUGAAAAUCCAAUUUAAAGCAGUGGUACAGUAUUUAUUGAAAUAAUUGUAUGAAAGACUGUUAAACCCGUGGAAGGUAAGUGUAUAUAUUGAUCUUUAACUCUAAAAUCAAUUAUUCUAUUUUAUAAAGUUCAAAAUCGUUGCAUAAGUUCAAGGAGGAUACAUUGGUUAUGCUCUCCGUUUUCAUCUAUGAGAAGUUACUCUCAACUUAUUGAAGCAUUUAAGGUUCGAGCUACCAAUUUCGCAGUUUAUUUGAUUUUCAUUUUUUUGUCUGAAUUCUCUUGAAUUCCAUUCUCUUUCUUUUCAUUUGUUAUUUACCUCCACUUUUAUUAUCAAAGUCCAUUGCCGAGUAUAUCAGAAAUGUUUUGCUAGUGCAUAAUGGCACUGUAUACUACCUUAGUAGUUUGGAAUGUUGGAUGCAGCAUAUGUAUUUUGCUUGUAUAUAGCUCUUUGUACUUGUUUAGGCCCUUGUACGGAUUUCUGUUUGCUUCGGAUUGAAAGUUGCAUGUGUCUUCACUGCCUAUACAAGAUACCGAUGGAAAGAUGUCACAGCAGCAGGUGUAAUGAUGUUGGGAGGUAUCUGUAUUUACACUAUUCCAUCAUGUUACUUGAUAAUCUUUUAUAUAGAAAUUGGAAAUCUAGACAUGUGGGAUCAUGAAGUGUUUGUCGGUAUGAACUUGGUCACUGCAGUGAGCAUAAGGAAGUUGGGGAGGUAUUUCUGUAUAUUCACAAUUCCAUCAUGUUACAUGUCUAAUCUUCUAUGUAGAAACUGGAAAUCGAGGCACGUGGGAUGAAGUGUUUGUCGGUAUAAGCUUUGUCACGGCUGUAAGGAGGUUGGUAGAUAUUUCUGUAUAUCAUGUUACAUAUCGUUUAAUUUUUUUAUAGAAACCGGAAAUCGAGGCAUGUGGGAUGAAGUGUUUGUCUGUAUAAACUUGGUAACGGCAGUGAACUUAAGGAUGUUGGAGGUAUUUCUGGAUUUGUACUUUUCCAUCAUGUUCCAUAUCGUUUAAUUUUUGAUAGAAACUGGAAAUCAAGCCGAUGUUGGAUGAAGGGUACCUCUGCAAAACUUGGUCGUGGCAGUGAGUGUAAUAAUGCUGGGAGGUAUUUUUGGCUUUACAAUAUUCAGUUACACCGCGUCUAUAUGAUAAUCAAGGUAUGUGGGAUAAAGUGUCCUUCCAUUAAUUGCGGUGAAGUGUGUGUGUGUAUAUCUUGGUCGACAUUCAGGGUUUGUGUUGGAAGUCAUUUGAAGCACUAUGGAGACUUGGAUAUCGAUCUGUGUAGGCUUUCAAUGCCUAGUCGCAGGUAAAUUCUACCGAGGCUUUUUCAAACAGAUGCAAUUGUUGAAGCUUUGAAGUCAUUAUGCAGUGAUGUAGUGAAUAGUUUUUGAGGAGCUUUUGUUGUGGAAGAUUGAUCAAAUACUCAAAGAGGUACAUGUAGACCGUGUAAUCCAGUUCUUUACAUAGUGAAGAUUGUUUCAGUGGACUUCGGUCCCGUGGUUUUUCCCCUUAUUAAGGGGUUUUCCACGUUAAUUAUGGUGUUCCUUUUUUUUAUAAUGUUGCUCGAUUAUGUU